AAGAACUUUGCUUCAAAUCACGCAAAACCAUGCAUCCAAACUCGUAGGAAUGUCCAUCACUUAAUUAGCACAUCCUUCAACUCAGUUCUUGGCCGGAGGGUGGUAGAUCGGAGUCGGGGACCCAUACGUGGGCGUGGGUGAACUGUAUUUAGGCGUUGGGGGGUGGUAUUCUGGCUGAGGUUUGGGCUCCGGCUUUGGCUUAGGAGGCACUGGUUUCUUGUGGAAGUGGUCAAAGAAGUGGUGGUGCUCAUGAUCCUUGUGGAAGUGGUCAAGCCAGUGCUUCUUGUCGAACAAGUCUUUAGCAGGAGGAUGGUAGAUUGGAGUAGGAGACCCAUAUGUAGGUGUUGGGGGGUGGUACUCUGGCUGCGGCUUGGGCUCUGGCUUCGGCGGAAUAGGCUUCUUGUGGAAGUGGUCGAAGAGUUGGUGGUGGUCGUGGUCCUUGUGGAAGUGACCAAGCAACUUGGCAAACAAGUGCCUAGCUGGAGGGUGGUAGAUUGGUGUAGGAGACCCGUAUGUGGGUGUUGGCGACCCAUAUGUUGGCGUUGGGGGAUGGUACUCUGGCUGAGGCUUGGGCUCUGGUUUGGGCUGCGGCUUAGGUUCCGGCUUCGGCUUUGGCGGUAUGGGCUUCUUGUGGAAGUGGUCGAAGAAGUGGUGGUGGUCAUGGUCCUUGUGGAAGUGACCAAGCAACUUGGCAAACAAGUGCCUAGCUGGAGGGUGGUAGAUCGGUGUCGGAGACCCGUAUGUUGGUGUUGGGGGAUGGUACUCUGGCUGAGGCUUAGGCUCUGGCUUCGGCUGCGGCUUAGGUUCCGGCUUCGGCUUCGGCGGCAUGGGCUUCUUGUGGAAAUGGUCAAAGAAGUGGUGGUGGUCGUGGUUCUUAUGGAAGUGAUCAAACAAGUGCUUCUUGUCGAACAACUGCCUUGCUGGAGGAUGGUAGAUCGGAGUUGGGGAUCCAUAUGUGGGCAUUGGUGAUCCAUACGUCGGU
rnacentral:lncRNA from 1 species